UUCAAACUCAAUUAUCAAAUUUCAGUGUUACUUCUCGAGACAAAAGCUCAUCAUGUCUCGAGACUUGGUCUCGAGGCAAACCUCUCCUGUAUUCUUAUUUUAAUUUUGAUGUUUGAAUGUCUCGAGACAAAGGGUUUAGGGCAAAAAUAAUUUAACUUCAAUGUGCCAUUAUAUCGUGACAAAUGCUACUCUACCUCGAGACAUAAGUCAAGUUGUCUUAAGACCUAUAAAGUUGAUCUUGAGACCAAGACUAAUGUAACAUCUCAUAUGAUAAACUUUAUUCUUAGAAUCUCGAUACAUAUUCUUCCUAAAAUUGGCUUAGAAUGAAUGUUUCAAAGUGACUAAAUCAUAACCAAAACUUCUUCAAACAUACCUAAACAUUAAACAAACUCAAAUCAACCAAUUGACAUAUGCAAAAUGCAAUUCAACAUCAUCAAACCAUAGCAAUUCCAAGCAUAAAAGCAUAACCAAUUAAAUUGCAUAUUCAAGCCUACAAGAACAAGCAUAAUUAACUUUCAAAUUUGAGAAUGAAAUUCAACUAAAAGACCUUAUAAACCAAAUUACCACAUAUAUCGAAACAUUAACUUAACACCAAGCCAUAAACAACUUAGGUACAUAUAACUAAAAUACAUAUAUACAUACAAAAGAGGCCAUAUAUAGAACAAUAUCAGAUUAAAUUAAUAUCAGCUAGGUAACAAGAUGUUGCUCGAGUUGAGUUCUUGAGUUGGAUGCUUGACCGCUCCUAAUUAUGUCAACUCUCGUCUGAGACCUGUGCACGAAAAUAAACAUGAGUAUUGAAUACUCAAUAAUACUAAUAUAAUUCAAAUACAAUGUAAUAAGGUUAAACUAAAGCACAUAUAUAGAACAAUAUCAAAUACAUUAUUGUAUACUACUUUUAACUCAUCACAUCAUUUUUCAACUUUCUUAUUCAUUUCUUAUUUCAAUAUCAAUUUCAAUUCUUACUCAUUUUGGCCUUUAUUAACUGAUAAUAGACAUUAGGACAGAUACUCGAAUCAAUGUAACGAUUAGUCCACGGCCCUCUGGGAAUUAAGACUAUUUGAUUUUGCCAUCCCGGGUUGCCUGACAACAAUGACUUUUAGUAUUUACCCCAUGACCCUUUAAGAAUUGGGACUGCUCAUGACCCUUUGGGAAUGGGAGCCAGUAAAUCACUGUACUGAUAACCCUAUGGCAUGCCAACUACAUCCGAACUAUAUUUAACAUCGUUUAACGGGACAAUAACAUCACAAUCACCAUUGUAAUACAUGUCAUCAUAAUAUCAAUGUCUCACCAUUGUAAACUUAAAACGUGCAUAAAUUAAAUCAUCUUGAUAUCUAAGUUUUUCCAAGGUUUCCAACAAUGAAACUUAAUUAAAAUUUCAUCAAUUACAAAAUCUAAAAUAUGGUUCACUAAUACCUAACAUCCUUUAUCAAGAAUCUACUAAAAUUUCAAAGGAAGGCUUACCCAAUUCUUGUAUAUAGCUCACGGCAAGGUUGAAAACUUCAACAAUAUUUCUUUCUUUUCUUUCUUUGUGUAGCCGUGUGAAGAAGAAGAUGAAAAUGGUUUUUUUAUCUUUCAUCUUUGCUUUUCUAAUUAUAAAAUAUUUAAUUCAAUAAUAUAACAUCUAACGGCCAUGUUUGUUUUGGUAAUAAUUAGUGGUGAUCAAUGGUGGAGAUCAUAUCUAUCUACUAACUCCAUUUAAUUAUGGGUUAAUUAUAUUCAAGGACUUGAAUAAUUUCCUAAUUCAAUUCUCAUUCAUUUUGACCACUAUGCAAUGUAGUCCCUGUACUUUUAUAAACAACUUAAUUUAUUUAGUUACUAUUUGC
rnacentral:lncRNA from 1 species